UACGAAGGGGCUAGCGUUGCUCGGAAUCACUGGGCGUAAAGCGCACGUAGGCGGAUCUUUAAGUCAGGGUGAAAUCCUGGAGCUCAACUCCAGAACUGCCUCUGAUACUGGGAUCUUGAGUCCGGAAGAGGUAAGUGGAACUGCGAGUGUAGAGGUGAAUUCGUAGAUAUUCGCAAGAACACCAGUGGCGAAGGCCGGCU
rnacentral:rRNA from 1 species